rnacentral:rRNA from 1 species
AGAGAUGGUUUCCUUCAGUUAGGCUGGAUCGGUGACAGGUGCUGCAUGGCUGUCGUCAGCUCGUGUCGUGAGAUGUUGGGUUAAGUCCCGCAACGAGCGCAACCCUCGCCCUUAGUUGCCAUCAUUCAGUUGGGCACUCUAAGGGGACUGCCGGUGAUAAGCCGAGAGGAAGGUGGGGAUGACGUCAAGUCCUCAUGGCCCUUACGGGCUGGGCUACACACGUGCUACAAUGGUGGUGACAGUGGGCAGCGAGACCGCGAGGUCGAGCUAAUCUCCAAAAGCCAUCUCAGUUCGGAUUGCACUCUGCAACUCGAGUGCAUGAAGUUGGAAUCGCUAGUAAUCGUGGAUCAGAAUGCC